GAUGAACGCUGGCGGCGUGCCUAAUACAUGCAAGUCGAGCGAACGGACGAGAAGCUUGCUUCUCUGAUGUUAGCGGCGGACGGGUGAGUAACACGUGGAUAACCUACCUAUAAGACUGGGAUAACUUCGGGAAACCGUAGCUAAUACCGGAUAAUAUUUUGAACCGCAUGGUUCAAAAGUGAAAGACGGUCUUGCUGUCACUUAUAGAUGGAUCCGCGCUGCAUUAGCUAGUUGGUAAGGUAACGGCUUACCAAGGCAACGAUGCAUAGCCGACCUGAGAGGGUGAUCGGCCACACUGGAACUGGGACACGGUCCAGACUCCUACGGGAGGCAGCAGUAGGGAAUCUUCCGCAAUGGGCGAAAGCCUGACGGAGCAACGCCGCGUGAGUGAUGAAGGUCUUCGGAUCGUAAAACUCUGUUAUUAGGGAAGAGCAUAUGUGUAAGUAACUGUGCACAUCUGGACGGUACCUAAUCAGAAAGCCACGGCUAACUACGU
rnacentral:rRNA from 1 species